GAUGAACGCUGGCGGCGUGCCUAAUACAUGCAAGUCGAGCGAACAGAUGAGGAGCUUGCUCCUCUGACGUUAGCGGCGGACGGGUGAGUAACACGUGGAUAACCUACCUAUAAGACUGGGAUAACUUCGGGAAACCGGAGCUAAUACCGGAUAAUAUAUUGAACCGCAUGGUUCAAUAGUGAAAGACGGUUUUGCGGUAACUUAUAGAUGGAUCCGCGCCGCAUUAGCUAGUUGGUAAGGUAACGGCUUACCAAGGCAACGAUGCGUAGCCGACCUGAGAGGGUGAUCGGCCACACUGGAACUGAGACACGGUCCAGACUCCUACGGGAGGCAGCAGUAGGGUAUCUUCCGCAAUGGGCGAGAGCCUGACGGAGCAACGCCGCGUGAGUGAUGAAGGUCUUCGGAUCGUAAAACUCUGUUAUUAGGGAAGAACAAAUGUGUAAGUAACUAUGCACGUCUUGACGGUACCUAAUCAGAAAGCCACGGCUAACUACGUG
rnacentral:rRNA from 1 species